AGACCCGCGCACAUCGCCCGACCGCUCCGGGUCCGGGCCCAGGCCCGCGGCCGGCGCGCGUCCCUCGGGCCACCGAGCAGGGGCGCGGGGCUGGCCUGGCGCGCCGGGAGGGCCUGGAAACACCCGUCCCGAGCGUCCCUCACCCCUCACCAGCAAAUCUGGGCCCUUACCUGGCGCGCCCGCCCGGCCGUCCCCGCCCUCGCCCUAGCGCGCCCGCCCACCGGGACCCCUGGGAGCCCACCCCCGCCCUCGCCCCGCGGCACUCACAUCCCGGGGCCGGCCCUCCCAAAGCUGGCCGCAGCUCCGCGACCGGGCGGGGCGGGGCGGGGCGCGGGUGGGGCCAGCCCAGGACACGCCCCCGGGCUUAGCCGCGUCCUCUGGGGGCAGAGCUCUGGCCGAUUUGGCCCGCCCCGCCAGUGUUGCGACACAGAGAGCCUGCCCGCAGGAAGGCCACCCCCAACGCCCAUCAAGCCCGAAGUCCCGCCUCCGCAGGCAAAUACCCGGUGGAAUCCCGCCUGGUUCGGAAGCUCCGCCCCCUGGCGGGAGGGCCAAGCGGGUUUCACCCCGGCCUCGCGGAAGGGGCGCGACCACCGUAUGUCCUGUUCCUGCGCUUCCCAAGCUGGGUAGAAACGGCGAGAGGCUGGGGGUUAGAAACGACAGGUUCCCGGCGGGCUGUGCCGGGGCUUCGCUGUGUGACCUUGGGCUGGCGUCUGGGCUCUCUGGGCCCUUGUUUCCGCGAGUUAAACGUAGGGGCGGGGGAGUUUCUCUGGCCCUGCCGCCUGUGACCUAAGGAGCCCCGUGACCUCUCCGACCCGAGCCCACCCCCGGCCCAGUCUGCGAGCAGCUCCGGGACAAGCACUCCCGGCGAAGACAUGUAGGCUCUCAGAGCCUGCGUUUCCCUCUGUAGAGCAGGCCUAGUUACUGUCUUCAGGGUGCACGCGUCUCCGUCCCCGACCCGCACCCUCACCGCCGGGAGAUGAGUUCUUAAACAACCAGAAGAUACUGCAGGUUCAAAGUCCCGGAGGCCAGAAGGAGCUUGCAUUCAAAUAAGAAAAUAUAUUUUCUCAAGGAAAUAUAA
rnacentral:lncRNA from 1 species